rnacentral:rRNA from 1 species
UACAGAGGGGGCAAGCGUUAUUCGGAAUUAUUGGGCGUAAAGAGCGCGUAGGCGGCCAGACAAGUCCGGUGUGAAAGUCACAGGCUCAACCUGUGAAUGCCGCUGGAAACUGUCUGGCUAGAGUCCGGAAGGGGCGAGUGGAAUUCCCAGUGUAGCGGUGAAAUGCGUAGAUAUUGGGAAGAACACCGGUGGCGCAAGCGACUUGCUGGGCUGUAACUGACGCUGAGGAACGAAAGCUAGGGGAGCAAAUGGG